GACAGAGGAGCCAAGCGUUGUCCGGAUUGACUGGGCGUAAAGCGCACGCAGGCGGUUGCGCGCGUGGGGUGUGAAAACUGGCCGCUUAACGGCCAGAGGCCAUCCCAUACGGCGCGACUUGAGCCCGUGAGAGGUCCAUGGAAUUGCCGGUGUAGUGGUGAAAUGCGUAGAGAUCGGCAGGAACACCCAGGGGGGAAACCAGUGGACUGGCACGGAGCUGACGCUCAGGUGCGAAAGCGUGGGGAGCGAACCGG
rnacentral:rRNA from 1 species